CCAGCGGAGGAGAGGAGGAGAGACAGAGGGGCCAGCAGAGGAGAGGAGGAGAGACAGAGAGACAGAGGGGCCAGCAGAGGAGAGGAGGAGAGACAGAGGGGCCAGCGGAGGAGAGGAGGAGAGACAGAGGGGCCAAGGGGCCAGCGGAGGAUAGGAGGAGAGACAGAGGGGCCAGCAGAGGAUAGGAGGAGAGACAGAGGGGCCAGUGGAGGAGAGGAGGAGAGAGAGGAGAGAAAGAGAGAGAAAAUGAAAGAGAGUAAAGGGGAGAGGGAGGAUAGAGAGAGGAGGAGAGCAGCCAACCGCUGUCAGAUACACAAACACAAACCACAUGCAGCUGUUCAGCCUCUGCCACAGCAGAACAUGAACCCCCCACACACA
ensembl:lncRNA